rnacentral:rRNA from 1 species
UACGUAGGGGGCAAGCGUUGUCCGGAAUCAUUGGGCGUAAAGAGCGCGUAGGCGGCCCAGUCAGUCCGCUGUGAAAGUCAAGGGCUCAACCCUUGAAUGCCGGUGGAUACUGCUGGGCUAGAGUCCGGAAGAGGCGAGUGGAAUUCCUGGUGUAGCGGUGAAAUGCGCAGAUAUUGCUCGGAAGGCCAGAGCCGAAGGGGCCCUACUGGUACGUAACUGACACUGAGGCACGAAAGCGUGGGGAGCAAACAGG